rnacentral:rRNA from 1 species
GCUCAUGGCCAUGCCACCCUGAACGUGCCCAAUCUCGUCUGAUCUUGGGAGCGAAGGAGGGUUGGGCCUGGUUAGUACUUGGAUGGGAUUCCACCUAGGAAUACCAGGUGCUGUAGGCA